UGGGGAAUAUUGGACAAUGGGCGGAAGCCUGAUCCAGCAACGCCGCGUGAGGGAUGACGGCCUUCGGGUUGUAAACCUCUUUCAGUACCGACGAAGCGAAAGUGACGGUAGGUACAGAAGAAGGACCGGCCAACUACGUGCCAGCAGCCGCGGUAAUACGUAGGGUCCGAGCGUUGUCCGGAAUUAUUGGGCGUAAAGGGCUCGUAGGCGGUUUGUCGCGUCGGGAGUGAAAACAGCGGGCUUAACUCGUUGCUUGCUUUCGAUACGGGCAGACUAGAGGUAUGCAGGGGAGAAUGGAAUUCCUGGUGUAGCGGUGAAAUGCGCAGAUAUCAGGAGGAACACCGGUGGCGAAGGCGGUUCUCUGGGCAUUACCUGACGCUGAGGAGCGAAAGUGUGGGGAGCGAACAGGAUUAGAUACCCUGGUAGUCCACACCGUAAACGUUGGGCGCUAGGUGUGGGGUCCUUUCCACGGAUUCCGUGCCGUAGCUAACGCAUUAAGCGCCCCGCCUGGGGGAGUACGGCCGCAAGGCUCAAAAC
rnacentral:rRNA from 1 species